GAGUUUGAUCAUGGCUCAGGAUUAACGCUGGCGGCGUGCCUAACACAUGCAAGUCGAGCGGCAGCGAGUUUUACACUGAAUUCUGGAAGCUUCUAGUUGAAAGAGAAGAUUUAUUCAAGAAUUUUGUGUAAAAUGUCGGCGAGCGGCGGACGGCUGAGUAACGCGUGGGAACGUACCCCAAAGUGAGGGAUAACGCAUCGAAAGGUGUGCUAAUACCGCAUAUGGUCUUCGGAUUAAAGCCUUCGGGCGCUUUGGGAACGGCCUGCGUAAGAUUAGAUAGUUGGUGGGGUAAUGGCCUACCAAGUCGACGAUCUUUAACUGGUUUGAGAGGAUGAUCAGUCAGACUGGAACUGAGACACGGUCCAGACUCCUACGGGAGGCAGCAGUGAGGAAUCUUCCACAAUGGGCGAAAGCCUGAUGGAGCAACGCCGCGUGCAGGAUGAAGGCCUUCGGGUUGUAAACUGCUUUUAUAAGUGAUGAUUAUGACAGUAACUUAUGAAUAAGGAUCGGCUAACUACGUGCCAGCAGCCGCGGUCAUACGUAGGAUCCGAGCGUUAUCCGGAGUGACUGGGCGUAAAGAGUUGCGUAGGUGGUUUAAUAAGCGAAUAGUGAAAUCUGGUGGCUCAACCAUUCAGACUAUUAUUCGAACUGUUGAACUCGAGAGCAGAAGAGGUAGCUGGAAUUUCUAGUGUAGGAGUGAAAUCCGUAGACAUUAGAAGGAACACCGAUGGCGUGGGCAGGCUACUGGGCUGUUUCUGACACUGAGGCACGAAAGCGUGGGGAGCGAACCGGAUUAGAUACCCGGGUAGUCCACGCCGUAAACGAUGGAUACUAGCUGUUUGGGGUAUCGACCCCCUGAGUAGCGAAGCUAACGCGUUAAGUAUCCCGCCUGUGGAGUACGAUCGCAAGAUUAAAACAUAAAGGAAUUGACGGGGACCCGCACAAGCGGUGGAUCAUGUUCUUUAAUUCGAUGAUAACCGAUAAACCUUACCAGGUCUUGACAUCCUUGGAAUCUUUCAGAAAUGAGAGAGUGCUUUUUAAGAGCCAAGUGACAGGUGAUGCAUGGCCGUCGUCAGCUCGUGUCGUGAGAUGUUUGGUUAAGUCCAUCAACGAGCGCAACCCUUGUCAGUAGUUGUAUUUUUCUACUGAGACUGCCCCGGUAACGGGGAGGAAGGAGGGGAUGACGUCAGGUCAGUAUUUCCCUUACGUCCUGGGCUAGAAACGUGAUACAAUGGCUAGUACAAUGCGCAGCGAAGCCGCGAGGUGAAGCAAAUCGCAUCAAAGCUAGUCCCAGUUCGGAUUGUAGGCUGAAACUCGCCUGCAUGAAGUCGGAAUCGCUAGUAAUCGCAGAUCAGCAUGCUGCGGUGAAUACGUUCCCGGGUCUUGUACACACCGCCCGUC
rnacentral:rRNA from 1 species